CAGAGACUGCAAGCGUUAUUCGGAUUCACUGGGCGUAAAGGGUGCGCAGGCGGCCGUGUGUGUGAGGCGUGAAAGCCCGGGGCUUAACCCCGGAAUUGCACCUCAAACUACACGGCUAGAGCAUUGGAGAGGGUAGCAGAAUUCAUGGUGUAGCAGUGAAAUGCGUAGAUAUCAUGAGGAAUACCAGAGGCGAAGGCGGCUACCUGGACAAUUGCUGACGCUCAGGCACGAAAGCGUGGGGAGCAAAAGGGAUUAGAUACCCCUGUAGUCCACGCCCUAAACGGUGCACACUAGGUCUUGGCGGAUUCGACCCCCCCAGGGCCCAAGCUAACGCGUUAAGUGUGCCGCCUGAGGACUACGGCCGCAAGGCUA
rnacentral:rRNA from 1 species